GAAAAUAUGACAUUACCUGAAAAUCUAUUACAUGAAAAUAGAUUACUCUAAAAUAUGACAUUUCUAUUGGUUAGGUACAUGGUAAAGAAAUGAAAAAAGAUUAUCCAGCGAAAUCUUUCGGGCGCCUCUUUCUACCAAAAAGAAAAAAAUUCUUCAACUCGUAGCUAAAAUGUUGUAGCCUAUCUUCUGCAACCAAUAGCUACCUUUGCUAACUGAAUCGCUCAUACAUUUAAACAUAAAAAAUCACACAGCAGCUCCAUCUUCUUCAAAGCUAAAACCCGUCAACUCCAUCUUCUUCAACUAGCAGUCGGCAGCCUCAUCUUCUUCAACUAGCACCUAAAAUUCAAAGCUAAAACCCUUCAGCUCCAUCUUCUUCAACUAGCAGCCGGCAGCCUCAUCUUCUUCAACUAGCACCUAAAAUCCAGUAGCCCAUCUUAUUUUUUGGCUUUAUUUUUUUUUUUUGCUGUUAUUCUUUGCUGAUAAAUUCGAAAUA
rnacentral:lncRNA from 1 species